GCAACUCCGUUGGGGUGCCCGGAAUGCACGGGCUGAGAGGCGAUGCGCCAACCCAUCGAACCUGAUCCGGCUAACACCGGCGUAGGGAACGGACUGACGCACGCC
rfam:Roseovarius tolerans strain EL-164 ROTO_contig000028, whole genome shotgun sequence.